GUUCGCCGCCCACGACUCGGCGAGAAGUCCAUUGAACCUUAUCAUUUAGAGGAAGGAGAAGUCGUAACAAGGUUUCCGUAGGUGAACCUGCGGAAGGAUCAUUG
rnacentral:rRNA from 1 species